GCUGGAAGCGCGCAUGCGCUGUGGCUAAUGCCGUAGGCUCCUUCAGGGCUGAGCCAUCCCGCGUGUCUUGCGCUCGGUGGAAAUGCCCAGCCGAGGGACGCGACCAGAGGACAGCUCUGUGCUGAUCCCCACCGACAAUUCGACCCCACACAAGGAGGAUCUAAGCAGCAAGAUUAAAGAACAAAAAAUUGUGGUGGAUGAACUUUCUAACCUUAAGAAGAAUAGGACCGAACAGAAAUGCUGUCUGAGAGCAAGAAUAUAUUGGAUGAACUGAAAAAAGAAUACCAAGAAAUAGAAAACUUAGACAAGACCAAAAUCAAGAAAUAGUCAACCUGAUUUCACAUAACAAUGUGUGGCAUUUGUUGUUCUGUAAACUUUUCUGCUGAGCAUUUCAGUCAAGAUUUAAAAGAGGACUUACUAUAUAAUCUUAAACAGCGGGGACCCAAUAGUAGUAAACAAUUGUUAAAGUCUGAUGUUAACUACCAGUGUUUAUUUUCUGCUCACGUCCUACACUUGAGGGGUGUUUUGACUACCCAGCCUGUGGAAGAUGAAAGAGGCAAUGUGUUU
rnacentral:lncRNA from 1 species